UUCGAGAAAGAGGUGAGGGACAAGAUCAACUUAACACACCAGCUGCGUCUACCAGAAGAUGGAACGAGCCACCCUUGAUCUUGGGUGCACAAAUGGGCAUUCCCGAGUUCGUCAGUACCAUCUUACGAGUGUGUCCGGAGGCAGCUACCUACCUGGACACCCGUGGCCGAAGCGUUCUCCAAGUAGCAAUAGAGCAUGGUAACCGAGAGAUUGUGAGAACUAUACGUGAGAUGAUUCGGGGGAAGAAUCCCAUACUACCAUCCUGGCUACUGUCCCGCGUCGACAAAAGGACCGGAAGAACCAUCCUGCACUUGGCUUCGGCAACUGCCCCCGAGCAUAACCAAGAUGCUCUACAAAUGCAAGAUGAAUUAAGAUGGUUUGAGGUCAAGUCCCUGACUUCAUUAACUACAAAUAAAUCAUUAUAUUCUCAGAGUUGCCUGCUAAAUUUGAUCGUUUUCUGACAUUUGAAUGCAGACGGUGAGAGAUAUGGUUCCUAAGGAAUUAGUGUACAGUCGGAACGCGCAAGAGAUGACCGCAGAAGAGAUGUUUACUGAGAGUCACCGGGAGAUGCUCAAGAGUUGCAAGGGUCAACUAAUGGAAACGGGCAGGACGUGUUCAGGGCUUGUCGCUGCUGUAGUGUUCGCGUCGAGCUUCUCCAUCCCCGGCGAUAAGGACCCAGCGACCGGCAACCCGGUUUACUUCGGUAGGGCAGCUUUUACGGUCUUCUCACAUUUUUACGUGAUUGGGUUGUCAUGCGCCGCCACAUCUCUGGUGUUGUUCUUAUCCCUCGCCAUGUCACCGUACAAGGAGCAGCAGUUCCGUCGUAUCAUCCCAACCAAAUACUUCUUUGCCCGCUCGUCGUUUGCGAUGGCGAUGCUGUCUUUUCUGGUGGCGUUCACCUGCAACAUCUACCUACAGAUAUAUGGCUGGCAGAAGGCGAAGUCGAAGGACUUGAUUCCAUUCGUAUUGGAGCUCACCGUCUUCCCCGUCAUCUGUUCCCUGGUGUUGUUCUUUCGUGGCUCCGAUUUCGGUCUAUCUUUCCUUGUUCGUCUUUGGGGUUGAGUCAACAAGCAUGAUCGUCCACAUCUUUGGAAUCUGCAGCUUCAUGAUGCACGUGGGUUCUACCUAUUGCGGGUAUGCCACCUGUUCUAGUGGUGUGUGGUGGUGGUAGUCAUUGGACAGUUAAUAACUUGUGUGUACAAGCAGCGACAAAGGCUUGUGAUGUAUGGACGCUAGUUGAUUGCAACUUUAAUGUGUUCUUUUCUUCUAUCUUAAAUUAGAUGAUGAUAUAGGCGCAGCGGUAGACAACAGAUCCGAUCACCAAUAAUGGUGAUGUCCCUCUCUAUUGUUUUUGACGAAGUCAAUAUGACAUAACUGUUGACCGGAUCUUACCCUGUAUUGUCAUGUAAAUGUCACAUGUCGAGUGACAGAUUUCCCCUAUCGUAUGGACGUCCUUUGGUUUUCCCAGAGGUCGGCUAGAACAUAGGCUCGAGUCUUUUUGAAUAUUCUGUGACAAAUCACAUAGUCCAUAUCGUAAAGUUUUGGCCCACCAAAGUUUGCACAGGCAAACGAAAUGAUUGGCUUAUAGAAGCCAAUCAUUCAAUAAGUGAAGGACAUCAAUUUUGGAUUAAAAAAAUAUCAACAAAAUACAAAUCACCUUUAUAGAAAGGAAAGAAAACUCUCCGUGGAGAGCUUUAUUGCACUCCUUCCCAUCCAUCAUCUAUGGAGUCAAAUAAGAAAGAUUCAAGAGAAGAUAGGAAUGGUCCGAGUGAAGAAGACAAACUAACGAGCAGCAAUGCUCGUCUAUUCCAAAGACCUGCCACGAGAAUAAUACAGCGAGAAAAAAAGAAAGAAAAGGAAGAAGCUUAUUUAUGAGGUGCGAAAGGUGAUGGACAUCCGAUUCACGCCGUUGCAGCUGAUGGUUACCAUCCUCUUCCGAAGCCAACUUGUGCUCGGCUCCUUUGAUUCCUUGCUCGCCCUUUCCCAAUUACUUUUUACAUAAAAUUAAUAUAUUUUAUGUAAAAAUAUAUUAAAUUUUAUAAAAUAUAUUCUAAAUUAUUCAAAAUAUAUUAUUACACUCUCAUUCAAAGAACGUGUUAAAAAAAAUAUUUUUUUUUAUAAAAUUAUCCUAAAUUCAUCAUAAAACUAAUCAUAAAAUUCUACAUCUCUUAUUUUCUAUUUCUUAUAUUGACUUAGUUAUGUUCAAAAUUAAAAUAAAUUAAAUUCGAUUACCUAACCUAUUUUAAUAUUAAUAUUUUUUUUACUUUUAGAUAUAUCUAGAAUAAUUAAUUAUCAAAACUUUGAGAAUUCUACUAUAAUUUGAUUCUAACAAAAUUAUAAUAAAUUUAUAUAAAAAUUAAUAUAUCUUAGUAAAUUCGAGUGUAACUUGGAUGUAAGAGAUUUGGCUUAACUUGAUUCUACUGGAUUCGAAGGGAUCCGACCCAAAUCGAUCUAAUUCAGAUCGAAUCAACCUGCUAAUCAGUCAGGUUUAAAAUAGUCUAUUUCAAAAGUAUUAUCAAAAUUUUUAAAGAAAAUCACCUUUUGUAUGAGCUUUUAUCUUUAUACAUACAAAGUAUCCUAUUAAACAUGAGGUAUUACAAAAAAAAAAAAAAAAUCCCUCUCCAAAGACCUCCUGUCAUGUCAACUCUAGUAAAAUCCCUAUUAACUAGAGAAAGAAGUUCUUCGUUUAUACUAUAGUCGAGACUGCAACCGAUUCAUUGUUAUUUACUCAUUUUCUUUUGGUUCGUUUUCAUGUCAGUGUCAAGCUAUAUGAUAGGUAAACAAGUGUUUGGUACCCUGUCUCCGUUCCACCAUGCGCUGACGUUAUCAGAUUCCCUUUCGCUGAUCUAUAUAUCUUAUUGUCAGAAGACGUGAGACUGAAAGUGAUAUGUUGGAGGAAAGUAUUGAUUAUAUUUCUAUUUAUUAUUGGUUGACCGAUGGAGAUGGUUACUUUACUUGGGAUGUCAUGUUGAGGUAAUUAAAUCAUGCCAACGCAGAUUCGAAUAAUAAAAUUCCUUUAGCUUGUCAUUAAGCAAAAGACACCCACUCGAAGAUAACGUGAUUUGGAGCUACAAAUGAUAACACUGAGAGCAAAAGAUUCAAUAAAGAGAUGUUGCCAUAAUCCCGGGUGCAUAAAAAGAAUCGGAGACCAACCAAAGGGUCAUCAACUCCAAAGACUUGCGAUGAGUAUGAUCUACAAAACCUUUUCUAUAAGGUGCAAGUUGAAUGAUCGGUGGAGACCCACAAGUAGAGGUUUGGGUGCAAGCUUCCGGAUUAUUGUUUCCUGUAGAGCAAGAAUCGUUGACCCACAAGUUAAAGCUACUGUCUAGCUUUAACGUAUGUGAAUUAUUCAUUAGUAGGUUGGCCUCUGUAACAUACGAUUAAUUUGUUGUCGAAUCUUUUGUGACUGAGAUGAAAACGGAGACCAACCAAUGGGUUCUCAACUCCGAAGACUUGCGAUGAGUAUGACCUACAAAAACCAAGGGGGAAGGAGGUGUACGACGAUGGAUGAGAGCCAAAAGGAUCAGCUAGUCUGCUUGUUAAGGCAGGCAUUCAGGUUGCUUUAGUUUCGCAGUAGAAAUCUGGAGGCGAAGGCGUACGCACCAUAUAGCAACUGCAUGCUAUGGGGGAUCCCGCCGCUCUUGCCAAUACGGAUUCCAUUCACGACGGCACAGAGGAUGCUGAUCCACUGCAUGUUCUCAACAGGAGACAUUUUCUCACGGUGAAGUCUCAUUUCCGUCGGAAGAGGCACGAGGCACUCUUGGUUCUAGCCGUGGAAGAUCCUGGUCGCCCGGUGAACCUCAUGAACGACACUUUGCUCCACGUCGUCAUAGCUUGCAACAAGACCGACCUCGCCAGAAGUAUUAUCUUGCAGAUGCCAGUGGAGACCCUCGCGGCCAAGAAUUUGUACGGCGACACGGCUCUUCAUGUCGCUGCCGCCAUGGGUAACAGCGAGGUGGCCAGGGAGCUGUUCGGCAGGAACGAAGAUCUCAUCGAAGAACAGAACUUGAAGCAGGAGACACCACUGCACAAAGCGGCGUUCUACGGGCAUCAUGACAUGUUCUGGUGCCUGGUUAACGAGGGGAAUGGCUCCCCGUACGAGCGGAGGGAGGACGGCGCCACCAUGCUGCACUGUGCCAUCAUGGGCAACGAGCCGGGUAAGCGGUCAUCACCAGUUUCGUUGGCCAGCUGCCUUUAUCUUGUUUUUAUCCUAUUUAUUUGAAUUUUUAUAUGUGGAUCAUACUGCUUCCGCAUCUUUGGCGUGAUCAAGGUGAGUGAGUCGAUGCAGGGCUGGCACUGGAGAUUGCAGAGCGUUUUCCAUUGCUGAUCACGUCGAGGAAUACUAUGGCGGUAACCCCAUUGCAGCUGAUGGUGACCGUUCCGGGGUUAUUCCGAAGCCAAAUGGUAAUUGGCGGCUUCGAGUCCAUCCUCCAUGACUGUAAGUGCUGCCCCGCCUCUUCCUUCAACGCCCCCAGCGCCCCGCCCUCCCCCCUGCUUCUCUAUUUAUUGCACUACAUUUCCUACCAACGACUACCUUAAUUUAGCGAUCGUUCGACGUCCAAAUCUAUUGAGAAUUUACCAAGGGGUGUUUUUUUCUCAUUAUCGGAACACAUAUACCCUUGCUUAUUUGGAUUUAUUAUAUGGUUUUGUGUUAAACGCAUCAAAUCUAAUCGGUUGAGUCUGGUUUGCUCUCUGUUCUUUGUUCUUUCACGUCUCCUCCUCCUACCCUCAAUUCACCCUUUGUUUGUCACCCUUUCACCCUUAUUCUUUCUUCUUCAAGGAGGAGGAGCAGAGGAGGAGGAGGAGAGGAAGCGACACAAGGUUGACUGGUUCAUUGAACCGGUUCACUGAUCCAAACUGUUUCAGUGAAUCAUUUCAAAAAGUUCGAAAUGUAAUUAAAUUGGAAUAGGAGGAUAAAGUUAGAAUUUACCAAAAAAACAUUCCUAAAUAAUUUCUGAAUAUAUAUAUAUAUAUAUAUAUAUAUAUAUAUAAUAAUACNNNNNNNNNNNNNNNNNNNNUAUAUAUAUAUAUAUAUAUAUAUAUAUAUAUAUAAAAUCUGAUGUAACGGGAUAAUUGACUUAUUAACUUCACUAAACUUGGAUCAUUGAUCUGAAUAAUUAAGUUUAAAUUAAUAAUAAUACACUUAUCAAAUCUCUAUAAAUUAAUCUUAGUAUUUGUCUAGUUUUAAUUUUCGAUGUGAAGUAAAAUUAUAAUUGUUCUCAGAAAAAUAUAGUUAUGAUGACAAUUAAACAUCAAGUAUUUUGAUACCAACGUACAUGCUCCUAAAAGUUUGAUUUUAUAUUUCAGUAAUUCCUUUGGAGAAGGACUCACACAGGACACGUCAAAGAGAUGAAGAGGAGGCAUCUGAAAGCUCCAACGAUGCCGGUGUAUGUGCUUCAAAUCAUCAACAUCUUUUCCAUCACAAUAUCAAUAGUCCACUAUUGUCUCUCUGAUUUGUUUCUCACUUUGGCGUCUACAUAUAUAUAAUCUCAAGCAAGCUGAAGCCACAGAGCAAGAUGACCACGAAUAUUUCGGGAGGCAGAGAACAAUUCGUUCGAGAUUUCCAUCUUGCUGCUGUACUCUCGUUGACAAAUUAGUCAUCCCAGGCACUCCUACUAGCUUCUCUGUCUACAAUUUUUGUAGUCAUCCAUGUUCUGUUUCAUUACGCUGAUGUAUUCCUUUUUGUGCUUGCAGUCAAAUGGGUUCGUCUGUUUCUUUUCAUCAUUAUAAGGACUUGUGAGUAACUGUUCCCAAACAGUACAUUGAUGAUAUUAAGAGCCAUGUCCUACUGUUUCAUUACGAGUUCUAGCAAAUUAGGAAAGUACUAUAGAAAAGGCUUCUUGUAAUUUAGUUCUCCAAAACCAAGUAGUUUACAUGAUGGAUAAUUAUAGCUUAUUUGCGGAAAAACAUAAAUGGGACGAUUAUGUCGCUGACUUCUUCUGAUGUUAAUUUGGAGAUGCAAUGCGUUAUGCAGUGUACCCUCGAACCCGACAUCUGGAGAAGAUUAAGAGAACCCAUAGAAAAGCCUUGGAACUCAUCGAAUUUUUAGCCCGCGACCCGAGAAACAUGGAGUUCUACGUGCUGGGAAGAAAACAAGGUGACGGCGGUGCUCCUGCGGCAGACCUUCGAGAAAGAGGUGAGGGACAAGAUCAACUUACCGCACCGGCUGAGUCAUACAGAAGAUGGAACGAGCCACCCUUGAUCUUGGGUGCACAAAUGGGCAUUCCCGAGUUCGUCAGGACGAUCUUACAAGUGUGUCCGGAGGCAGCUACGUAUCUGGACACCCAAGGUCGAAGCGUUCUCCAAGUAGCAAUACGGCAUGGUAACCGAGAUAUUGUGAGAACUAUACGUGAGAUGACUCGAGGGAAGAAUCCCAUACUACCAUUCUGGCUACUGUCUCGCGUCGACAAAGGGACCGGAAGAACCAUCCUGCACUUGGCUUCGGCAACUGCCCCCGAGCAUAACCAAGAUGCUCUACAAAUGCAAGAUGAAUUAAGAUGGUUUGAGGUCAAGUCCCUAACUACAUUAACUACAAAUAAAAUCUUUACAUUCUCGGAGUUGCCUACUAAAUUUGAUCGUUUUCUGACAUUUUUAUGCAGACGGUGAGAGAUAUGGUUCCUAAGGAAUUAGUGUACAGUAGAAACGCGGAAGAGACGACCGCAGAAGAGAUGUUUACUGAGAGUCACAAAGAUUUGCUCAAGAGUUGCAAGGUUCAACUAAUGGAAACGGGCAGACUGUGUUCCGGGCUGGUCGCAGCUGUAGUGUUCGCGUCAAGCUUCUCAGUCCCCGGCGAUAAGGACCCAACCACCGGCAACCCGGUUUACUUCGGUAGGGCAGCUUUUACGGUCUUCUCACACACGUACGUGUUUGGGCUUUCAUGCGCCGCGACAUCUCUGGUGUUGUUCUUAUCCCUCGCCAUGUCACCUUACAAGGAACAGCAGUUCCGUCGUAUCAUCCCAAUCAAAUACUUCUUUGCCCGCUCGUCGUUUGGGUUGGCGAUGCUGUCUUUUCUGGUGGCGUUCACCUGCAACAUCUACCUACAGAUAUAUGGCUGGCAGAAGACGAAGUCGAAGGACUUGAUUCCAUUCAUAUUGGAGCUCACCGCCUUCCCUUUCAUCUGUUUCCUGGUGUUAUUCUUUUAUGGCUCCAAGUUCGGUCUAUCUUUUCUUUUUCAUUCUUGGCGUUGAGUCAACAAGCAUGAUCGUCCACACGAAUCUGGCAGGUUCAUGAUGUACGUGGGUUGUACCUAUUACGGUAUGUCGCCUGUUCCAGUGGUAUGCGGUGGUAGAAGUCAUUGGACAGUUAAAUAUCUUGUGUGUACAAGCAGCAACAAAGGCAUGUUAUAUGUGGCCGCUAUUUGAUUGUAACUUUAAUGUGGUCUUUUCUUCUAUCUUAAAUUAGAUAAUGAUAUAGGCGCCACGGUAGACAACAAAUCUGAUCACCAAUAAUGGUGAUGGCCCAUCAAUACUGAAUAAUGGUGAUGGCCCUGCCUAUUGUUUUUGGACUAAUGUCCAUAUGACAUAGCUGUUGAUGGGAUCUUAUCCUCUCACCGUUGACUGUAUUGUCAUGUAAGAUAUGCAUGGACGUCCUUUCGUUUUCCCAGAGAUCGGCUAGAAGAUAGGAUCGAGUCUUAUUGAAUCUUCUGUGACAAUCAAGUAGUCUUUAUCGUACAAUUUUGGCCCACCAAAGUUUGCACAGGCAAACGAAAUGAUUGGCUUAUAGAAGCCGAUCGUUCAAGAAGUGAAGGACGUCAAUUUUGGAUUGAAAAAAGAUCAUUUAGCUUUUCAAAAAAGAAAAAGAAUAACCUUUAUAAAAUGGAUAGAAAACUCUCCGUGGAGGCCUUUACACCGCUCCUUAGCAGCAUCCAUGGACUGGAGUCAAUAAGAAACAUUUAAGAAAAGAUAGAAACAGACGUAUCGUUGUCCAAAGAGUGAAGAAGACAAACUAACCACAAGCAAUGCUCGUCUAUUUUAAUGACCUGUCACAAGUCUAAUACAGCCACAAAACAUUAAAAAAAAGGAAGAAGCUUGUUUAUGAGGUGCCAAAGGUUAUGGACAUCUAUCUGAUUCACGCACGGAAUGGUCACCAUCCCCGAGCACCUCUUUCGAAGCCAAUUGUUUGGUCGGCACCUUUGAUUCCUUUCUCUGUAUCUGUCCAAGUGCUGCUCGCCCUUUCUCAAGUACUUUCUAAUCCUCUAUCCAUCUCUCCAUUUUUAUUUUUCUACUUUUACUGUUAUAAUAAGUUUUUUAAAUUAUUUUUAUUACAUUAAAUUACAUAUAAGACAUCCUUAUAUAAACAUAUCAUUAUAUUGCCACGACUAUAUAGACGCUUAUUCUAUAUACAAACUAGAAAUAGACAAAAGGAUACCAAUAAAAUAAAGAGACACCGCAAUAAGAAUCGGAUUUGGUAAAGUAUUUUCCUCAAACGAGCUUGGAGGAUCGGAUAAGAGUUUUGUAAAGAGACCACUGCUCCUGAAAUGAAAACCAAUCGUCGUGCUUUCAAUUAAUAAAACCAAUCAUGCAUACCGUUUUCUAAAGUGUUCAAUGAGGAGACAACAUAAGUAAUUGUCAGUUCACGCAUAUUACUUACCGUACGCAGAAGGAGGCGUAGGUACGUCGGUCGAUGGUCACUUGAUCUCCUUCCUGGCCAUCAUAUAAAGGGAGGCCUUCAGGUGCUCAUCUAAGACCACCAAGGGUACGUGAAGGUUGAAGACGUAGCCAUGGAUCCUUCGGGAAGCCAUUCGGCCCUCGCAACAGAUAACAGUGAUGACGAGAAUAGACGACCUAGCGUCUUCGACGUGGAUCACUUUUGCACCGUGACGUCUCUGAUUCAGCAGGAGAAGUACGAGGAUCUAUUACCCCUAGCCAUGAAGAAGGAUCCUCCACUCAACCUCAUGGAGGACCCUGUGCUCAACGUCGUCAUCGAAUACAAGAAGACCGACCUCGCCAAACGGCAGAUUCAAAACAUGCCCGCGGAGAAGAAGCCCGCGGAGAAGCCCGGACCGCUGUGGUACGCUAAUUACCACGGCGACACGGCUCUCCAUGUCGCGGCCACCGUGGGUGACCUCGACGUGGCCAAGGCGUUGGUCUGGAAGAACUCAGAACUCAGAACUCGUCAGUGCACGCAACUGGAAGAACGAGACACCGCUGCACAAAGCGGCGCUGUACGGGCACGAGACGAUGUUCUGGGACCUGGUGGAAAUGGGGUCGCACGCCCCGGACGAGCGGAGGGAGGACGGCGCCACCGUGCUGCACUGUGCCAUCAUGGGCAGCGCGCCGGGUGAGUUGUAAUCAAUUCCAGGAAGCCAUAGUCAUAUAUAGCUCCUUUCUUGUUUUCCAAAAAUAUGUUUACAUAGUUGAAUUGUAAUGUAGCUUUAGCACUGAAGAUUGCCAAGACAUAUCCACCGCUGAUCACGUCGCGGAAUGAUGAUGCGGUGACUCCGAUGCAGCUGACGGUGACAAUUCCAGGGUUAUUCCGAAGCCUAACGAAUCUUGGGCCCUUAGAGGCCGUAAUUUAUAAGCGUGAGUCGUAAUGUAAUUUCUAGGAUUUACAUCACCAUAAAACAUUCACAGCAUGUAGUUAUGGUAACUAAGGCUUUGUUACAUCAAAUAAAAGCACACCAAUAUGCAUGCUAGCUCUUGAAACUUCAUGGCUGUAUACUUUGAUUGCAAUGUUGCAGUGAUUCCAUACGAAGACUCCAGCGAGCCACGUGCAGUAGAUGAAGAGACAACCAGGGUCUCGAGCGCUGUUGAAGUAUGUGCUUCCGGAUGAAUCAUUUUGUUUUGCAUGAUGGCAUUGAUAUAGUUCAUGAGGUCGAUAGCAUCUUUUCUACUACUUGUCAAUAAUAUUUAUCACAAAAUUUAAGAGCAGUUUUUUCCUCAAACUAGACAAUAUAAAGUUUGAUCUACCAUGUGUUAGAAAUUUUUGUAAUAUCAGUCGAAGUCAUUCUGGUUAGGGUUAACGAAUUACCCUUUUAGGAUAUUUCUAUUCAUCUCACACAUAUGAAUAUGGGUUUUGAAAGUCUUUCACAUAUUCACAAAGGUUUAAACUUAAUACAUGUAACUCAAUUUUUAAGUCUUUCUCUUCUUUGAAGGGUUCAAACUUUGAGUUCAUAUAUUUUUUAACUUUACGAUACGGUUCACAUAUCUACAUCUAUCCAAUGGUACGACUCAUCUACAUUCAGUGGCUGGAAUAUUAUGUAAUUUUUUUUUAGAAACGAUAAGUUUGAGCCAUAUUCUAGUUAGGGUUAAUGUAUAUUAGGUCAUACGUCAUACAUCAAUUGAAUCUAGAAACUUUGAUUAUUAUAUUAUCAAUCAAAUUUAGUAUAUGUAACUAGACUCUUUCAAUUAUUAGUAACAUGAGACUAUCCUCUUAGAAUAUUUCUUUUCAUCUCAUAUAUGAUUUGUCCCUGCACGAGUAUUAUUUCCUUGUAUUGUCUCUGACGUUGGCGUCUACAUGUACUUAAUAAGGGAGGUGCAAAAUAUAUCAAGCGAAAGGUUGUGUCUCUUCUGCCCCCCAAAACGUUUCGUUCGAAAUUCCCAUCUCACUACAGCAGUCUCUUUGACCUGCGGGAAUUGAUGUUCAUCCCAGGUACUCACUCCUACGAGCUUCUCUAUUUACAUUUCUUACCUGGAUCUUAUUGUUGGAUCACAGUACUACACUGAUUCGUGCUUCUGUUGAUGCAGCCAGAUGGGUUCAUUUGUUGCUUUUCCGCAUUCUAAAGCAAUGUAAGUCAUUGUUCGUGGAUGGAUGCAUGAUGUUUAGACAUGUUGUCCUUUUCCAAUUAAUGUUAGUGGAAUUGCAAUGCAUCAUGCAGUGUUCCCUAUGAUCGAACGUCUGGAGAAGCAAAAGAAAACCCACAAGGAAACCUUGGAACUGAUCGAGUUCUUAGCCUAUUAUCCUAGGCACAUGGAGUUCUAUUCCAAGGGAAGACGAAAAGGCAAGGAGGAAAGUCUUCUUGUUGGAGACAUCACCAGUUCUACAACAAGACAGUCUCCUCCGUCAACAGACGCUGGUGAAGGCCAAGGAGUAAAUGGAGGAGGGAACCGAGAUCAAGACUUUGAUAGGUUUGCGGAAAAGCUAUUUAUGUAUAUGUCGCACAAGGAUGCCAAUCACGAAGCAGUAGCAAAAGAGCUCAAGAAGAGCAUGAAGGAGUCGAUGGAGGAAGUGUCCGGUGAAUCCACAAUUAGAAGAUGGGACGAGCCGCCCCUGAUCUUGGGUGCACAAAUGGGUCUUCCUGAGUUCGUCAGGACGAUCUUGCUAGUAUGUUCGCAGGCAGCAGCAUACCUGGACACCAAGGGGAGAAGCGUUCUCCAAGUCGCAGUCAUGUAUCGUCGCGAGGAGAUUGUCAAGAUCAUAAUGGACAUGAGAAACAUUUUACCAUCCUGGUUAUUUUCCGAAAUCGAACCCAAAACCGGGAACACCAUCGUGCAUCUUGCUUCACGUGGAAGCCCUGAUGUAGCAAAGGAAGCGCAAGACGAACCGGAUGCAAUGCAACUGCAUUACGAUUUAGUAUGGUUUGAGGUAAAGUUGCUAAACUUUUUUGCCCCCCUCCUCAAAUUUUGACAUGCUUCUCAAAAGUAUUAUCCGUUCAAUUCUUUGACAUGCAUUCUUCGGUGUCGGUUGUGGGUUAUUCGCGCAUAAUACAAAAUAACCAACAAAUACACAAAUAAAAUCUACGUAUUCUCAGAGUUGCGUACUAAAUUUGAUCGUUUUCUGACAUUUGAAUGCAGACGGUGAGAGAUAUGGUUCCUAAGGAAUUAGUGUACAGUCGGAACGCGCAAACGAAGACCGCAGAAGAGAUGUUUACUGAGAGUCACCGAGCGAUGCUAAAGAGUUACAAGGGUCAACUAAUGGAAACGGGCAGGACGUGUUCAGGGCUUGUCGCUGCUGUAGUGUUCGCGUCGAGCUUCUCCAUCCCCGGCGAUAAGGACCCAGCGACCGGCAACCCGGUUUACUUCGGUAGGCCAGCUUUUAAGGUCUUCUCACAUGCGUACGUGAUUGGGUUGUCAUGCGCCGCCACAUCUCUGGUGUUGUUCUUAUCCCUCGCUAUGUCACCUUACAACGAGCAGCAGUUCCAUCGUAUCAUCCCAACCAAAUACUUCUUUGCCCGCUCGUCGUUUGCGAUGGCGAUGCUGUCUUUUCUGGUGGCGUUCACCUGCAACAUCUACCUACAGAUGUAUGGCUGGCAGAAGGCGAAGUCGAAGGACUUGAUUCCAUUCGUAUUGGAGCUCACCGUCUUCCCCGUCAUCUGUUUCCUGGUGUUGUUCUUUCGUGGCUCCGAUUUCGUCUUUGGGGUUGAGUCAACAAGCAUGAUCGUCCACAUCGUUGGAAUCUGCAGCUUCAUGAUGCACGUGGGUUGUACCUAUUACGGUAUGCCACCUGUUCUAGUGGUGUGUGGUGGUGGUAGUCAUUGGACAGUUAAUAACUUGUGUGUACGGGCAGCGACAAAGGCAUGUGGUGUAUAGACAACAGAGCUGGUCACCAAUAAUGGUGAUGGGCCUCUCUAUUGUUUUUGACGAAGUCAAUAUGACACAACUGUUGACCGGAUCUCACCCUGUAUUGUAAUGUAUACUGUCACAUGUCGAGCGACAGAUUUCCCCUAUCGCAUGCAAAUUGCAGUGAGAUGUAUGGACGUCCUUUUGGUUUCCCAGAGGUCGGCUAGAAGAUAGGCUCGAGUUUUAUUGAAUCUUCUGUGACAAAUCACAUAGUCUAUAUCGUAAAGUUCUGGCCCGCCAAAGUUUGCACAGGCAAACGAAAUGAUUGGCUUAUAGAAGCCAAUCAUUCAAGAAGCGAAGGACAUCAAUUUUGGAUUAAAAAAAUAUCAACAAAAAAAAAAUUCACCUUUGUAGAAAGGAAAGAAAACCCUCCUUCGCAUCAUCUAUGGAGUCGAAUAAGAAAGAUUUAAGAAAAGAUAGAAAUGAUCCGAGUGAAGAAGACAAAUUAACGAGCAGCAAUGCUCGUCUAUUCCAAAGACCUGCCACGAGAAUAAUACAGCGAGAAAAAAUGAAAAGAAAAGAAAAGAAAGAAGCUUAUUUAUGAGGUGCGAAAGGUUAUGGACAUCCGAUUCACACUGUUGUAGCCGAUGGUUACUAUCCUCCUCCGAAGCCAACUUGUGCUCGGCUACUUUGAUUCCUUUCUCUAUGACUGUCUCAAGUGCCGCUCGUCCUUUUCCAAUUACUUUUUAUAUAAAAUUAAUAUAUUUUAUAUAACAAAAGAGUAAUUUAUAUAUAUAAAAAAAUUAUUCUAAAUUAUUCAAAAUAUAUUAUUACACUAUCAUUCAAAGAAUGUGUUGCAUAUUAAUUUUUUUUAUAUAUAAAGAAUCCUAUUAAACAUGAGGUAUUACAAAAAAAAAAUAGCUCUCUCCAACAACCUCCUGUCAUGUCAACUUCUAGUAAAAUCCCUUUUAGCUUGAGAAAAGAAGUUCUUCGUUAAUACUAUAAUUGAGACUGCCACCGCAAGUAAAACCAGUGUUUGGUACCCUGUCUCCGUUCCACCAUGCGCUGACGUUAUCAGAUUCCCUUUCGCUGAUCUAUACAUCUUAUUGUCAUAAGACGUGAGACUGAAAGUGAUAUGUUGGAGGAAACUAUUAAUUAUAUUUCUAUUUAUUAUUGGUUGACCGAUGGAGAUGAUUACUUUACUUGAGAUGUCAUGUUGAGGUAAUUAAAUCAUGCCAACGCAGAUUCGAAUAAUAAAAUUCUAUUAGCUUGUCAUUAAGCAAAAGACACCCACUCGAAGAUAACUUGAUUUGGAGCUACAAAUGAUAACACUGAGAGCAAAAGAUUCAAUAAAGAGAUGUUGCCAUAAUCCCGGGUGCAUAAAAAGAAUCGGAGACCAACCAAAGGGUCGUCAACUCCAAAGACUUGCGAUGAGUAUGAUCUACAAAAACUUUUCUAUAAGGUGCAAGUUGAAUGAUCGGUGGAGACCCACAAGUAGAGCUUUGGGUGCAGGCUUCCGGAUUAUUGUUUCCUGUAGAGCAAGAAUCGUUGACCCACAAGUUAAAGCUGCUGUCUAGCUUUAACGUAUGUGAAUUAUUCAUUAGUAGGUUGGCCUCUGUAACAUACGAUUAAUUUGUUGUCGAAUCUUUUGUGAAUGAGAUGGAGGGUGCUUAAUUUGUUAGUGAAAGAAAAGUCAAUAAUGAGAAAAAGGGCAGAGAAGAAAACGCAAGAUGAAAGCUCAUCUGGAGAGUUCUUCAUGGCAGUGCCACUUUAAGAGGGGAGAUAGGUUGGAAGGGGUCCAAAGGGGAUCUGUACUAAACUUGGAACGGUUUAGCUGGUUUGAGCAAAGAAUCCGACGCCAUUUUCCGACACUAAGCGACGCCAAUCGACUGAAAAGGAGGGAGGCGUACGACGAUGGAUGAGAGCCAAAAGGAUAAGCUAAUCUGCUUGUUAAGGCAGGCCUUCAGGUUUCUUUAGUUUCGCAGUAGAAAUCAGGAGGCGAAGGCGUACGAACGAGUUGUACGCACCAUAUAGCAACUGCACCAUAUAUAUUUUUGGUCGGUGAGAACGUAGCGAAAGGAGCGGCUCCCUUCGGUGUGUUUUGGAUAUGACGGCUCCUUCCACCACCCAAAAGCUGACGCCUGCUGCAGAUGUAGGCACCGGAUCAGGGAGAAAAGUAGAGAAACAGCCGUCUGUACCCGGGAAAUCGCAGCCUGCACACGGCGCAGGUGGUGGUGGAUCAGAGGAGCCACCGCAUGCCCUGGACGUGGCACGCUUCCGCCGGCUGAACUCGCUCAUCCACCGUGAGAACGUGGACGCGAACAAACUCCUGCGUCUAGUGGAGCAGGAUAACCACGUGAACCUCAUGAACGACCCCUUGCUCAGCGUCGUCAUCGCCUGCAAGAAGCCCAAGCUCGCCUGCAGCCUCAUCGACAAAAUAUCAUCAAAUGACAUUCUCAAGGCCAGCAACUUAAACGGCGACACGGCGCUUCACGUAGCUGCCGCCAUGGACGACAAAGAAGUGGCCUCGAAGCUGAUCGACAGGGUGCCAGAUCUCGUUCAUAUGCAGAACGUGAAACAGGAGAUACCGCUACAUAAGGCGGCGCUGUACGGGCUGCUGGACAUGUUCUGGCUGCUGGUGGAAAAUAACAGCUCACCGAAAGCCCGGAGGGAGGACGGCGCCACCAUGCUGCACUGUGCCAUCAUGGGCAACGCGCCGGGUAAGCGAUCAUCACCAGUUUUGUUGGUCUGGCGCUGGCCAGCUGUCUUUCUCUUGUUUUUAUCCUAUUUUUUUGAAGUGUUGUAUGUGGAUCAUACUGCUUCCGCAUCUUUGGUGUGAUCAAGGUGAGUGAGUCGACGCAGGGCUUGCACUGGAGAUUGCAAAGCGUUUUCCAUUGCUGAUCACAUCGCGGAAUACUAUGGCGGUAACCCCGUUGCAGCUGAUGGUGACCGUUCCGGGGUUAUUCCGAAGCCAAAUGGUAAUUGGCGGCUUCGAGUCCAUCCUCCAUGACUGUAAGUGCUGCCCCGCCUCUUCCUUCAACGCCCCCAGCGCCCCGCCCUCCCCCCUGCUUCUCUAUUUAUUGCACUACAUUUCCUACUAACGACUACCUUAAUUUAGCGAUCGUUCGACGUCCAAAUUUAUCGAGAAUUUACCAAGGGGUGUUUUGUUUCUCAUUAUCGGGACACAUAUACCCUUGAUUUUUUGGAUUUAUUAUAUGGUUUUGUGUUAAACCGAAUCAAAUCUAAUCGGUCGAAUCUGGUUUGCACUCUGUUCUUUUUUCUUUCACAUGUCUCCUCCUCCUUCCCUCGAUUCGCCCUUUUUGUUGUCACCCUUUCACCCUUAUUCUUUCUUCUUCAAGGAGGAGGAGGAGAGGAAGCGACACAAGGUUGACCGGUUCAUUGAACCGGUUCGCUCAUCGAAACUGUUUUUGUGAAUCAUUUCAAAAAGUUUGAAACGAAAUUAAUUGGAAUAGGAGGAUAAAGUUAGAAUUUACCAAAAAAAAAAACAUUCCUAAAUAAUUUCUGAAUAGAGGGGCGUGAUAGAAACCAAUUACUAAUAAUCUUUUAGGUGAAUUAUUAUUAUUAUUAUUAUUAUUAUUAUUAUUAUUAUUAUUAUUAUUAUUAUUAUUAUAUAUAAAUAUAAUAUGGUGUAACGGAAUUAUUGACUUAGUAACUUCACUGAACUUGGAUCGUUGAUCUGAAUAAUUAAGUUUAAAUUAAUAAUAAUACACUCAUCAAAUCUCUAUAAAUUAAUCUUAGAAUUUGUCUACUUUUAAUUUUCGAUGUGAAGUAAAAUUAUAAUUGUUCUCAGAAAAAUAUAGUUAUGAUGAAACUUAAACAUCAAGCAUUUUGAUACCAGUAGUGUACAUGCUCCUAAAAUUUUGAUUUUACAUUUCAGUUAUUCCUUUGGAGAAGGACUCAGACAGGACUCGUCGAAGAGAUGAAGAGGAGGCAAGUGGAAGCUCCAACGAUGCCGGUGUAUGUGAUUCAAAUCAUCAACAUCUUUUCCAUCACAAUAUCAAUAGUCCACUAUUGUCUCUCUGAUUUGUUUCUCUUUUUGGCGUCUACAUAUAUAUAAUCUCAAGCAAGCUGAGGGCACAGAACAAGAUGACCACGAAUAUUUCGGGAGGCAGAGAACAAUUCGUUCGAGAUUUCCAUCUUGCUGCUGUACUCUCGUUGACAUAUUAGUCAUCCCAGGCACUCCUACUAGCUUCUCUGUCUACAAUUUUUGUAGUCAUCCAUGUUCUGUUUCAUUACGCUGAUGUUUUCCUUUUUGUCCUUGCAGUCAAAUGGGUUCGUCUGUUUCUCUUCAUCAUUUUAAAGACCUGUGAGUAAUUGUUCCCAAACAGUACAUUGAUGAUAUUUAGAACCAUGUCCUACUGUUUCAUUACGAGUUUUAGCAAAUUAGGAAAGUACUAUAGAAAAGGCUUCUUGUAAUUUAGUUCUCCAAAACCAAGUAGUUUACAUGAUGGAUAAUUAUAGCUUAUUUGCGGAAAAACAUAGAUGGGAUGAUCAUGUCGCUGACUUCUUCUGAUGUUAAUUUGGAGAUGCAAUGCGUUUAAGAUUAAUUUAGUUCUUCUGAUGAUCAUGUCGGAAAAACAUAAAUGCAGUGUACCCUCGAACCCGACAUCUGGAGAAGAUUAAGAGAACCCAUAGAAAAGCCUUGGAACUCAUCGAAUUUUUAGCCCGCGAACCGAGAAACAUGGAGUUCUACGUGCUGGGAAGCAAACAAGGUGACGGCGGAGCUCCUGCGGCAGGCUUUCGAGAAAGUGGUGGGCGACAAGAUCAACUUAAUGCACCAGCUGCGUCUACCAGAAGAUGGAAUGAGCCACCCUUGAUCUUGGGUGCACAAAUGGGCAUUCCCGAGUUCGUCAGUACGAUCUUACGAGUGUGUCCGCAGGCAGCUACGUACCUGGACACCGGUGGCCGAAGCGUUCUCCAAGUAGCAAUAAAGCAUGGUAACCGAGAGAUUGUGAGAACUAUACGUGAGAUGACUCGGGGGAAUAAUCCCAUACUACCAUCCUGGCUACUGUCCCGUGUCGACAAAGGGACCGGAAGAACCAUCCUACACCUUGCGUCGGCAAAUGCCCCCAAGCAUACCCAAGAUGCUCUACAAAUGCAAGAUGAAUUAAGAUGGUUUGAGGUCAAGUCCCUAACUACAUUAACUACAAAUAAAAUCUUUACAUUCUCGGAGCUGCCUACUAAAUUUGAUCGUUUUCUGACAUUUGUAUGCAGAGGGUGAGAGAUAUGGUUCCUAAGGAAUUAGUGUACAGUCGAAACGCGCAAGAGAUGACCGCAGAAGAGAUGUUUACUCUGAGUCACCAAGCUUUGCUCAAGAAUUGCAAGGAUCAACUAAUGGAAACGGGCAGGCUGUGUUCAGGGCUGGUCGCAGCUGUAGUGUUCGCGUCGAGCUUCUCAGUCCCCGGCGAUAAGGACCCAGCCACCGGCAACCCGGUUUACUUCGGUAGGGCAGCUUUUACGGUCUUCUCACACACGUACGUGUUUGGGCUUUCAUGCGCCGCGACAUCUCUGGUGUUGUUCUUAUCCCUCGCCAUGUCACCUUACAAGGAACAGCAGUUCCGUCGUAUCAUCCCAAUCAAAUACUUCUUUGCCCGCUCGUCGUUUGGGUUGGCGAUGCUGUCUUUUCUGGUGGCGUUCACCUGCAACAUCUACCUGCAGUUAUAUGGCUGGCAGAAGACGAAGUCGAAGGACUUGAUUCCAUUCAUAUUGGAGCUCACCGCCUUCCCUUUCAUCUGUUUCCUGGUGUUAUUCUUUUAUGGCUCCAAGUUCUUUUAUGGCUCCAAGUUCGGUCUAUCUUUUCUUUUUCGUUCUUGGCGUUGAGUCAACAAGCAUGAUCGUCCACAUCCUUCGAAUCUGCAGCUUCAUGAUGUACGUGGGUUAUACCUAUUACGGUAUGCCGCCUGUUCCAGUGGUGUGUGGUGGUGGUAGUCAUUGGACAGUUAAUAACUUAUGUGUACAAGCAGCGACAAAGGCAUGUGAUGUAUGGACGCUAUUUGAUUGCAACUUUAAUGUGGUUUUUUAUCUUCUAUCUUCGAUUAGAUGAUGUCUGCGCAACGGUAGACAACAGAGCUGGUCACCAAUAAUGGUGAUGGCCCUCUCUAUUGUUUUUGACGAAGUCAAUAUGACACAACUGUUGACCGGAUCUCACCCUGUAUUGUAAUGUAUACUGUCACAUGUCGAGCGACAGAUUUCCCCUAUCGCAUGCAAAUUGCAGUGAGAUGUAUGGACGUCCUUUUGGUUUCCCAGAGGUCGGCUAGAAGAUAGGCUCGAGUUUUAUUGAAUCUUCUGUGACAAAUCACAUAGUCUAUAUCGUAAAGUUUUGGCCCGCCAAAGUUUGCACAGGCAAACGAAAUGUUUGGCUUAUAGAAGCCGAUUAUUCAAGAAGCGAAGGACAUCAAUUUUGGAUUAAAAAAAUAUCAACAAAAAAAAAUCACCUUUGUAGAAAGGAAAGAAAACCCUCCUUCGCAUCAUCUAUGUAGUCAAAUAGGAAAGAUUUAAGAAAAGAUAGAAAUGGUCCGAGUGAAGAAGACAAACUAACGAGCAACAAUGCUCGUCUAUUCCAAAGACAUGCCACGAGAAUAAUGCAGCAAGAAAAAAUGAAAAGAAAAGAAAAGAAAGAAGUUUAUUUAUGAGGUGCGAAAUGUUAUGGACAUCCGAUUCACACUGUUGCAGCUGAUGGUUACCAUCCUCUUCCGAAGCCAACUUGUGCUCGGCUCCUUUGAUUCCUUUCUAUAAAGGUUAUGGACAUCCGAUUCACUCGCGCCAUUGCUGCUCGUCCUUUCCCAAUUACUUUUUAUAUAAAAUUAUUAUAUUUUAUAUAAUAAUAUAGUAAUUUUUAUAAAAAAAGUAUUCUAAAUUAUUCUAAAUAUAUUAUUAUACUAUCAUUCAAAGAAUGUGUUGAAUAUUAAUUUUUUUUAUAAAUUUAUCCAAAAUUCAUCAUAAAACUAAUCAUAAAAUUCUACAUCUCUUAUUUUCUAUUUCCUAUAUUGACUUAGUUAUACUCAAAAUUAAAAUAAAUUAAAUUCGAUUACCUAACUUAUUUUAAUAUUAAUAUAUAUAUAUAUAUAUAUAUAUAUAUAUUACUUUUAGAUAUAUUUAGGAUAAUUAAUUAUCAGAACUUUGAGAAUUCUACUGUAAUUUGAUUCUAACCAAAAAAAUACUAGUUUUUUUAUUUUAUAAUAAGUUUAUAUAAAAUUAAUAUAUCUUACUAAAUUCGAGUGUAACUUAGAUUUGGCUCUACCCAACCCGACUCGAUCCGAAAGGAUGCGCCCCAAAUCAAUUUAAUUCAGAUCCAAUCAACCAGCUAAUUAGUUAGGUUUGAAAUAGUCUCGUAUUAUGAAAAUUUUUAAAUAAAAAUAUCCUGAGCUUUUAUAUAUAUAUAUAUAUAUAUAUAUAUAUAUAUAUAUAAAGAAUCCUAUUAAACAUGAGGUAUUACAAAAAAAAUCGCUCUCCAACAACCUCCUGUCAUGUCAACUCUAGUAAAAUCCCUUUUAGCUUGAGAAAAGAAGUUCUUCGUCAAUACUAUAAUUGAGACUGCAACCGAUUCUUUGUUUUUUACUCAUUUUCUUUUGGUUCGUUUUCAUGUCAGUGUCAAGCUACAUGAUAGUUAAACAAGUGUUUGGUACCUUGUCUCCGUUCCACCAUGCUCUGACGUUAUCAGAUUCCCUUUCUGUGAUCUAUGUAUCUUUUUGUCAUAAGACGUGAGACUGUCAGUGAUAUGUUGGAAGAAACUAUUAAUUAUAUUUCUAUUUAUUAUUGGUUGACCGAUGGAGAUGAUUACUUUACUUGGGAUGUCAUGUUGAGGUAAUUAAAUCAUGCCAACGCAGAUUCGAAUAAUAAAAUUCUUUUAGCUUGUCAUUAAGCAAAAGACACCCACUCGAAGAUAACGUGAUUUGGAGCUACAAAUGAUAACAUCGAGAGCAAAAGAUUCAAUAAAGAGAUGUUGCCAUAAUCCCGGGUGCAUAAAAAGAAUCGGAGACCAACCAAAGGGUCGUCAACUCCAAAGACUUGCGAUGAACAUGAUCUACAAAACCUUUUCUAUAAGGUGCAAGUGGAGGUUUGGGUGCAAGCUUCCGGAUUAUUGUUUCCUGUAGAGCAAGAAUCGUUGACCCUCGCAUGGCCAUCCACGUUUAUGGCAUGUAGGUGCUGUCUAGCUUUAACGUAUGUGAAUUAUUCAUUAGUAGGUUGGCCUCACUAACGUACGAUUAAUUUGUUGUCGAAUCUUUUGUGAGUGAGAUGGAGAGUGCUUAAUUUGUUGUGAAAGAAAAAACAAUAAUGAGAAAACUAGCACAGAAGAAAACGCAAGUUGAAAGCUCAUCUGGAGAGUUCUUCAUGGCAGUGCCACUUUAAGAGGGGAUAUGAGUUGGAAGGGGUCCAAAGGGGAUCUGUACUAAACUUGGAACUGUUUAGCUGGUUUGAGCAAAGAAUCCGACGCCAUUUUCCGACUCUAAGCGACGCCAAUCGACUGAGAAGGAGGGAGGCGUACGACGAUGGAUGAGAGCCAAAAGGAUCAGCUAAUCUUGUUGUUAAGGCAGUCCUUUCAGGUUGCUUUAAUUUUGGUGUAGGCAUCUGGCGGCGAAGGCGUACUUACCAUAUAGCAACUGCAUGCUAUGGGGGAUCCCGCCGCUCUUGCCAAUACGGAUUCCAUUCACGACGGCACAGAGGAUGCUGAUCCACUGCAUGUGCUCAACAGGAGACAUUUUCUCGCGGUGAAGUCUCAUUUCCGUCAGAGGAAGCACGAGGCACUCUUGGCUCUAGCCGUGGAAGAUCCUGGUCGCCCGGUGAACCUCAUGAACGACACUUUGCUCCACGUCGUCAUAGCUUGCAACAAGACCGACCUCGCCAAAAGUAUUAUCUUGCAGAUGCCAGUGGAGACCCUCGCGGCCAAGAAUUUGUACGGCGACACGGCUCUUCAUGUCGCUGCCGCCGUGGGUAACAGCGAGGUGGCCAGGGAGCUGUUCGGCAAGAGAGAAGAUCUCAUCGGAGAACAGAACUUGAAGCAGGAGACACCACUGCACAAAGCGGCGUUCUACGGGCAUCAUGACAUGUUCUGGUGCCUGGUGGACGAGGGGAAUGGCUCCCCGUACGAGCGGAGGGAGGACGGCGCCACCAUGCUGCAUUGUGCCAUCAUGGGCAACGAGCCGGGUAAGCGAUCAUCACCAGUUUCGUUGGCCAGCUGCCUUUAUCUUGUUUUUAUCCUAUCCUAUUUAUUUGAAUUGUUAUAUGUGGAUCAUACUGCUUCCGCAUCUUUGGCGUGAUCAAGGUGAGUGAGUAUCGAUGCAGGGCUGGCACUGGAGAUUGCAGAGCAUUUUCCAUUGCUGAUCACGUCGCGGAAUACUAUGGCGGUGACCCCGUUGCAGCUGAUGGUGACCGUUCCGGGGUUAUUCCGAAGCCAAAUGGAACUUGGCGGCUUCGAGUCCAUCCUCCAUGACUGUAAGUGCUGCCCGCCUCUUCCUUCAUCGCCCCCGGCGCCCCGCCCUCCCCCCUGCUUCUCUAUUUCUUUCACUACAUUUCCUACCAACGACUACCUUAAUUUAGCGAUCGUUCGACGUCCAAAUUUAUCGAGAAUUUACCUAAGGGUGUUUUUUUCUCAUUAUCGGAACACAUAUACCCUUGAUUUUUUGGAUUUAUUGUAUGGUUUUGUGUUAAACCGAAUCAAAUCUAACCGGUCGAGUCUGAUUUGAUCUCUGUUCUUUAUUCUUUCACAUGUCUUUCUCCUCCUUCCCUCAAUUCCCCCUUUUGUUGUCACCCUUUCACCCUUAAUUCUUUCUUCUUCAAGGAGGAGAGGAGGAGUAGGCGGAGGAGGAGAAGAGGAAGCGACAGAAGGUUGACCGCUUCAUCGAACCGGUUCGCUCAUUCAAACUGUUUUAGUAAAUCAUUUCAAAAAGUUUGAAACGAAAUUAAUUGGAAUAGGAGGAUAAAGUUAGAAUUUACCAAAAAAAAUUCCUAAAUAAUUUUUGAAUAGAGGGGAGUGAUAGAAAACAAUUACUAAUAAUCUUUUNNNNNNNNNNNNNNNNNNNNUAUAUAUAUAUAUAUAUAUAUAUAUAUAUAUAUAUAUAUAUAUAAUCUAAUCUAACAGAAUAAUUGACUUAUUAACUUCAGGAUCAUUGAUCUGAAUAAUUAAGUUUAAAUUAAUAAUAAUACACUUAUCAAAUCUCUAUAAAUUAAUCUUAGUAUUUGUCUACUUUUAAUUUUCGAUGUGAAGUAAAAUUAUAAUUGUUCUGAGAAAAAUAUAGUUAUGAUGAAACUUAAACAUCAAGCAUUUUGAUUUUACAUUUCAGUUAUUCCUUUGGAGAAGGACUCACACAGGACUCGUCGAAGAGAUGAAGAGGAGGCAGGUGGAAGCUCCAACGAUGCCGGUGUAAGUGAUUCAAAUCAUCAACAUCUUUUCCAUCACAAUAUCAAUAGUCCACUAUUGUCUCUUAUUUGUUUCUCACUUUGGCGUUUACAUAUAUAUAAUCUCAAGCAAGCUGAAGCCGCAGAGCAAGAUGACCACGAAUAUUUCGGGAGGCAUAGAACAAUUCGUUCAAGAUUUCCAUCUUGCUGCUGUACUCUCGUUGACAUAUUAGUCUUCCCAGGCACUCCUACUAGCUUCUCUGUCUACAAUUUUUGUAGUCAUCCAACUUCUGUUUCAUUACACUGAUGUAUUCCUUUUUGUGCUUGCAGUCAAAUGGGUUCGUCUGUUUCUUUUCUUCAUUAUAAGGACUUGUGAGUAACUGUUCCCAAACAGUACAUUGAUGAUGUUAAGAGCCAUGUCCUACUGUUUCAUUACGAGUUCUAGCAAAUUAGGAAAGUACUAUAGAAAAGGCUUCUUGUAAUUUAGUUCUCCAAAACAAAGUAGUUUACAUGAUGGAUAAUUAUAGCUUAUUUGCGGAAACACAUAAAUGGGAUGAUCAUGUCGCUGACUUCUUCUGAUGUUAAUUUGGAGAUGCAAUGCGUUUAAGAUUAAUUUAGUUCUUCUGAUGAUCAUGUCGGAAAAACAUAAAUGCAGUGUACCCUCGAACCCGACAUCUGGAGAAGAUUAAGAGAACCCAUAGAAAAGCCUUGGAACUCAUCGAAUUUUUAGCCCGCGACCCGAGAAACAUGGAGUUCUACGUGCUGGGAAGAAUGCAAGGUGACGGCGGAGCUCCUGCGGCAGGCUUUCGAGAAAGAGGUGGACGACAAGAUCAACUUAAUGCACCAGCUGCGUCUACGAGAAGAUGGAACGAGCCACCCUUGAUCUUGGGUGCACAAAUGGGCAUUCCCGAGUUCGUCAGUACCAUCUUACGAGUGUGUCCGGAGGCAGCUACCUACCUGGACACCCGUGGCCGAAGCGUUCUCCAAGUAGCAAUAGAGCAUGGUAACCGAGAGAUUGUGAGAACUAUACGUGAGAUGACUCAGGGGAAGAAUCCCAUACUACCAUCCUGGCUACUGUCCCGCGUCGACAAAGGGACCGGAAGAACCAUCCUGCACUUUGCUUCGGCAAAUGCCCCUGAGCAUAACCAAGAUGCUCUACAAAUGCAAGAUGAAUUAAGAUGGUUUGAGGUCAAGUCCCUAACUACAUUAACUAGAAAUAAAAUAUUUAUAUUCUCGGAGUUGCCUACUGAAUUUGAUCGUUUUCUGACAUUUGAAUGCAGACGGUGAGAGAUAUGGUUCCUAAGGAAUUAGUGUACAGUCGAAACGCGCAAGAGAUGACCGCAGAAGAGAUGUUUACCAAGAGUCACCAAGCUUUGCUCAAGAGUUGCAAGGUUCAACUAAUGGAAACGGGAAGGUUGUGUUCGGGGCUGAUCGCAGCUGUAGUGUUCGCGUCGAGCUUCUCCAUCCCCGGCGAUAAGGACCCAGCGACCGGCAACCCGGUUUACUUCGGUAGGGCAGCUUUUAAGGUCUUCUCACAUGCGUACGUGAUUGGGUUGUCAUGCGCCGCCACAUCUCUGGUGUUGUUCUUAUCCCUCGCCAUGUCAC
rnacentral:lncRNA from 1 species